ACAAGGGUUAAUCUUGGCUGUCAACUCCACUGCAUCUGGAAUCCACUAAGAAAAAAGCUGCUGGGCCACACCUGUGAGGAAUUUUCUUGAUCACUUUGUUUGAAGUGGGAAGAGCCACUCUCAACAUGUCUGAAGGAGGAGCUCCCUUCUGGCCAGCCAGCCUCAUGUCUGUCUGGCUUGUUUGUCUUGUUACUACCACCUCCACUGCUGCCAUCCUUCCCUGUGCUGGGAUUGAACCCAUGGCCUGCCAUACUCCAGGAAAACAAACCGCUGAACUCUACUCUCAGCCAUUCAAUCCAAUAUCUACUUCUUCUAGCAAGUUGUUUUCCUUGUCUGGGCUUCGGUCUCCUUAUGUAUGCAGUGCAGCCAUGGAUCUUUGACUGAUACCUGGACAACUGGCAGGAGUUGACUUGCUGGAUGUACAUUCUCUGCACUCCCUAGGGCAGGGGGUGACCACACAAGGCCUCCCCAUCAGCUCAGGUUGCCCUUGAAUCUGCUUAACCUCUGAAGUGCUGGGAAUUACAAGUGUGUGCUCACUCAGA